rfam:Anaerobacillus sp. NB2006 Ga0137927_1197, whole genome shotgun sequence.
UGGUGAUAUCUCCUUAUCUAUAUCAAUGGAGGUACUCGAUCAUGCUGUGGGUUGAAAAAACCUUAGACGCUCGUCGUCAUUAGUGUGGUGUGAGGUUGGGUUAAAUGCCCG